AUGCAUGGGCUAGGCCCAUUAUGCUUAACAUUUCAGUCAAUAUACCUUCUUAACAUUAGGUUACAAGGUCAAGCGGCAAGGGAGCAGCAACGUCGUUGGAUUCCACCUCCGCCAGGCUCACAAAAGAUAAACGUGGAUGGUGCAUUAUCACGAAACAGACGAGUGGGAGUUGCAGCCGCAAUCUGCCGUGAUUCAAAUGGCAACUAUCUUGGCGCGUCAGCGGUGGUCCAUGGGGGCAUACGCGAUCCGAUGAUCCUGGAGACAUACGCGUGUCGGGAGGCUCUAGCGCUGGCGGAAGAUCUACACGAGCAGAAUAUCAUGGUGGCAUCGGAUUGCCAAGGUGUGGUGCAGGAUAUCAAUGAAGGGACAGCUGGCCCCAAUGCGGCUGUUAUACAUGAAAUAACGAACCGUAAAGAUAGUUUUACGUCUUGCGUUUUUGUUUUUGAGCGUAGGAUUUUUAAUUUCGAGGCUCAUAAUCUCGCUAAAUUUGCUUGUAACCUAGAUAUAGGUAGACAUGUAUGGUUGGGUACUCCUCAUGACCCAAAGCGUGUACCUAUGAACAUUGUCAUGAAUCAAUAA
rnacentral:rRNA from 1 species